GCGGGGCGAGCGGGGCUGCGGGGCGAGCGGGGCUGCGGGGCGAGCGGGGCUGCGGGGCCAUGGCGUGCCCGGCGGGACGGGAGCUGCCCGCAGCGCGGGGCGGACGGGCCUGGCGGAGUGGUAACGGAGGAGCAGCAGCAAAACAUACAUCUGUAUUGACUGAGAGGAACAGAGGUCUGCCUGCAGCAUCCCACUUCAUAAGCGAUGAGAAGGUCCAGUAGGCUGUGGCACAAGUGGAAGACUGAGGACCAGCAGAGCCUAUAGGCCAACUACUGGAAACCAGGGACUGUCCAUGGCAUGAUCUUAUUCCAAAUUUACUUAGGACAGCUGUCCUUUACACUUGAUAACAUUCUGGCACCCCAAAGAGCCAAGUACUCUUAUCAGACCUGAAUGGAGGAAGUGGAAACCAAGUUUGAAGGAUAAGUAUUGCAUUAUUAUAUUGAAUAAGCUAUAGGUUAGCAAUUAUUACAUAUUGAAUGGGAUCUAAAUUACUUAAUGCCCAUGCAAUCUGUUUUCUUCUCCUUUUAGUUACUCUGUUCCUUAGUUUAUUUUUAUAUACUCUCUGUUUUCAAGUGGGUUAUAUGUAUUCUGUAAAAAGAUUGCCGAUGACCAGAAGCUCAACCUCAUGUGGUAGCUGGGGAUGUACCAGACUCCUUGCAGAGAGAGUGAGAAAAGGGGGGCUGCUCGGAAGGGUUGGGGUACCUCAUCAGGAACCAAGUAUUAUAGCAUCUGUGAAGGGUUAAUGACAGAGUUGGAAAUAAUCCUUGAAGACAAAAGCUAUUUGUAAAAAUAUUUUCUGCAAAUAUUAUUGCAUUACUUGGAUGUUUUUCAGUUGAUCAUUUAUUACUUUUUUAAAAAUAAAAUUUCUGCUUUAUU